GAUGAACGCUAGCUACAGGCUUAACACAUGCAAGUCGAGGGGCAGCAUUUCAGUUUGCUUGCAAACUGGAGAUGGCGACCGGCGCACGGGUGAGUAACACGUAUCCAACCUGCCGAUAACUCGGGGAUAGCCUUUCGAAAGAAAGAUUAAUACCCGAUGGUAUAAUCAGACCGCAUGGUCUUGUUAUUAAAGAAUUUCGGUUAUCGAUGGGGAUGCGUUCCAUUAGGCAGUUGGUGAGGUAACGGCUCACCAAACCUUCGAUGGAUAGGGGUUCUGAGAGGAAGGUCCCCCACAUUGGAACUGAGACACGGUCCAAACUCCUACGGGAGGCAGCAGUGAGGAAUAUUGGUCAAUGGGCGCAGGCCUGAACCAGCCAAGUAGCGUGAAGGAUGACUGCCCUAUGGGUUGUAAACUUCUUUUAUAUGGGAAUAAAGUUUUCCACGUGUGGAAUUUUGUAUGUACCAUAUGAAUAAGGAUCGGCUAACUCCGUGCCAGCAGCCGCGGUAAUACGGAGGAUCCGAGCGUUAUCCGGAUUUAUUGGGUUUAAAGGGAGCGUAGGUGGACAGUUAAGUCAGUUGUGAAAGUUUGCGGCUCAACCGUAAAAUUGCAGUUGAUACUGGCUGUCUUGAGUACAGUAGAGGUGGGCGGAAUUCGUGGUGUAGCGAUGAAAUGCUUAGAUAUCACGAAGAACUCCGAUUGCGAAGGCAGCUCACUGGACUGCAACUGACACUGAUGCUCGAAAGUGUGGGUAUCAAACAGGAUUAGAUACCCUGGUAGUCCACACAGUAAACGAUGAAUACUCGCUGUUUGCGAUAUACAGUAAGCGGCCAAGCGAAAGCAUUAAGUAUUCCACCUGGGGAGUACGCCGGCAACGGUGAAACUCAAAGGAAUUGACGGGGGCCCGCACAAGCGGAGGAACAUGUGGUUUAAUUCGAUGAUACGCGAGGAACCUUACCCGGGCUUAAAUUGCAUUUGAAUAUAUUGGAAACAGUAUAGCCGUAAGGCAAAUGUGAAGGUGCUGCAUGGUUGUCGUCAGCUCGUGCCGUGAGGUGUCGGCUUAAGUGCCAUAACGAGCGCAACCCUUAUCUUUAGUUACUAACAGGUCAUGCUGAGGACUCUAGAGAGACUGCCGUCGUAAGAUGUGAGGAAGGUGGGGAUGACGUCAAAUCAGCACGGCCCUUACGUCCGGGGCUACACACGUGUUACAAUGGGGGGUACAGAAGGCAGCUACCUGGUGACAGGAUGCUAAUCCCAAAAGCCUCUCUCAGUUCGGAUCGAAGUCUGCAACCCGACUUCGUGAAGCUGGAUUCGCUAGUAAUCGCGCAUCAGCCAUGGCGCGGUGAAUACGUUCCCGGGCCU
rnacentral:rRNA from 1 species